UCAAUUAAGUGUGCUCUUUCUACUGCGCUAACGCAUGUAACUCAUAAACAUUAUAUUUUUCAACAUCAAUGUUUGUUUAGUUUUUCUUGAUAUAUCUUGGAGAAAAUUAUUAGAAUUAAAAAAAGGAUCAAGCUUGAUCAAAAGGAGAAGGAUCAAACUUGAGGAAAAAAAAAAAAAAAAGUAAGAUACGUAAUUCAUGCACUUCUUUAACAUGGAGUUAUUUAAUACAUACUUAGUUUGUGAUGCAUACUCAUCUAUCUAUUGAGGAUGAAUAUGCAUGAAACAUGAGAGACAGUUAUGGGGGUGGGUUUGAUGAAGACAUUAAAUAUUUCCCAGCGCUAACACGAUUUACAGAAACCAGUACAGAUAUUCUCUAUAUUAUUUCUCAAGCCAUUUGAGUCUGUCACAAAAUAUAAAAUUAGGAAAAUCUAAGGCCCGGUAGAAGAAAUAAGAACAAAACUUUAAUAACACAUCCAAGUUUUGCAAAGGACGAAGACAUUUCAAAAAGAGUGAAAGAAUAUUUACGCAUUAGUCAUAUCACUUAUUCAUACUUUGAGAUAUUUUUGAUUGAAAAAGUUGAUGUAGCAUAGCAAGUGGAAUGUUAACCAAUCCGGGGCAUAUAAGUGAUGUUAUUGUUUGAGAAAUUUUGGAGGAUAAAAGGCAAGAGUCCCUGCAUACAACAACCUCUCUCUCUCUCUCUCUCUCUCUCUCUCUCUCUCUCUCUCUCUCUCUCUCUCAUGGCCACACAUAACACGGCCAUACAACUGUCCUAUUGACCUAUCUCUCAAAUCGUUGUUUGGCUGCUUAGCUACAUACAACCGAGCAUUUUCUUGAUUCAUCAAUUAUUCAGUGAAGUUUUUGGAGACAUUUUUUUCAUAUAAAAACAUUUGAUUCUAUGUUCAGUUUGGAUUUUUUUAUUAUAUUGUUUAAUUAGAUGGAUUAUGCGAAAAUUAGUAUUUGGAUGUUAGGGAAACCUUAAGGUGAUGUUUAAGAACGAAUUGAGUGAGUCUGGGAUUGAAGACAAAGCUUGAAAGGCUCCCAUGAGUGAAAUGGUUUAAGUUGCCUAUAUUUUAUUUUAUCUUUAAGUUUUAUCAAGUUAUAUGGUUAGAUUUACAAAUUUGAUCCGCUCAACAAAAAAUCUCAAGUAUUUUGAUAAAACUCUAGAUAAAAGGGAAUAUAGGCAACUCGAAGCAUAUACACACAUAUACACGCAAUGUUCUGCUUGCUAAAUAGAUUUAAGAAUCUGUAUUAUACUUCUCUAUUUCUAUUGAAGAAUAUCUUGAAGCAAAUAAUUAAAGCACUCCAUUCGUCAAAAAUUAACUUAACACAUCAAAGAUAAUCAAUUAUUGGCUGCCCAUUUCUACUAUAAUCAAUUCAUUUUACAAACUCGAGUACAUCAUUUCAAUGUAUAAAUAUUAUGAGACUUGUUCAGGAUUUAAAUUGACAUCACAAUAUUGUUGUCAACAAAGAAUUAAUUUGGUUCAUUAGCAAAUUCAUUAAUAUUUUUUGUUUGUUGCAGUCGAUACAAAAAAUGAGUGCAAUUGAUUAAAGAAACAAUAUCAAACUCAAGUAAUGAUGUCUUUUCUAACUGGUCAAAACGAUAACAGCUUUUUUAAUUUAAAUAGGUUCAUAAUUAUCAGCAAAGGCAAAACUAAUGGAAAAUAUAGCAAACCUCUUUGAAUUCUAAAAAAUCAAGGAAUUUUCUCAAAAAAAAAUCCAAGGAGUUAUCAACAACCCGUAAACUCUUCCUUAAAAAAAUAAAACCCUUAAACUCUAUUCACAUCUAUCAUUCUCUUUAUUUCUAUCUUUCACACGGUGCAUAUCUAACCGCACUUUUUUAGCCUGUCUUUUUUAUUGGGAAUAAGAGUUUUUUUAUAGACGGGAGAUGUGAAUUUGAAUUUGUUGAGACCUCCUUUCUUCUUUUUUUCUUAUGGAUAAAAGUGAAUUUCAAUAACCAUCUCUACCCCCUUCUCCUUUUCUUAUGGGUUGUCUCUCUUUCUCUACAUCAACGUCAUUAGUGUGGUCGCAUUGUCUACUCUCUUCCUCUGCGGAUACGUCUUAAAGCCUUGAUGUUACCAUCGCAUUGCAGCCCAUUUGCUCUUUUUUUUUUUAAUUCCUCUUAAGUGAGUCCAUAGAGAGUCCAUGGAGGAGUAACAAGUGAGUUUUAUAUUCUUCAAGUAUAUGCAGAAUUGAUUAAACAACCUAAAUGUUGUUUGGAUAGUUUUUAGAGUAAAUUACACUCCCCUCCCCUCAAAGAUGCUUGAAUUACACUCCCCUCCCCUCUUAAGUUAAAAUAUACACUCCCCUCCCCUCUUAUUCAAAACAUAUUAGAAAAAAUUUCACUCCCCUCCCCUAAGAGAAGCUUGAAUUAGAUCCUCCUCCCCUCUUAUGUUAAAAUCUACACUUUACCCCCUAAAUAUUCUUUUUUACUAUUUCUAAUAAUCUAGCAAAAAAUAAUAAUUUGACACACUUAAAAAUAAAAAUAGUAUUGCAGGUCUAUUUUAGUUUAAUAAAAAAUUGAAUACAUAUUUUUCACUAAUUAACAUGUAGUUUUAAACCCUAUUAUAAAAUAUGAAACAACCCAAAACAAAAUUAAAAUAUGUGAAAAAUUACUAAAAUCAUUAAAGCAUGAUUAUUUAAAAGUUAAUUUUAUACUCUAAUUUAUAAAAUCAAUAGCAAUAUAUUUAAAUUUAAUUACCAUUGACAUCUAAACUAUAAAGAAAUGAAUCAAUUUUUCUUAAAUGGUGAUUCAAAAUUAAUAUAUAUUAUAAGAAUAUUUAUUUAUGUUCAAAUAGAUUAAAGUGUAGUGCAUAUUUAAUUAUUAAGGGAGGGGUUUGUAAUUCAAGCAUCUUAUAAGGGUUCAUUCUCUCUGAUCACAACCCUUUUCCACCGCCGCCGCGCCUACUCCAUCCAAAUCCAAAACCGAUCUGCUCCGAUGUAGUAUUAAUGGAUGGUGGUGCGACGAGCUUCACCCUCCGCACCACCAACGUCCCUCUCCCUGUCUGUCGAUGGCUACAUGGGGAUAUUUGAGAUCGACGUUGUCGCUGGUAUGAGUUUCUUGCGCCGCCAUCGUUCUGCUUGUAUUUGACAACAACCAUCUGGUUCAGAUGUGGGUUGUUGUUUGCCAUUACGAAAUGGGUCAAUUGUUGUCGUCUGUGGCGGCGGUCGUCCCACUGUUUUCCUUAUCAGGUGCGAUUCGUUUUGGUUUUCUUGCUGCCGGGAACUUGUUGCUGUGUUGAUGCUCCCCCUGUCAAAUUUUGAUUCUUCCAGACCUGUUGAGGUCUGCAGUUUUCUUGGUAUGGUUCGUCGACAGACACAACAAAAGUGUUUUUGGUGGUUGUACUCGUUAUUGAAUCUGGUUCGGUCCGUAGGGAUUGAACUUGGACUGUUAGGCCAUAAAUGGCUAUGAAUUUGUUGUGGUUUAUCACAACAAAUGGUUGGUGAUGUGGAUUCGUUAACUACCGUGUUGGCGGUCGAAUCCACUCCCCACCCUCAAGAAUUUUGGUCUGAUGCUAAGUCGAGACUCUAAAAGGUUAGUUCAGACUAUUUUGGACUCGAAAGAGUCGGUAAUGCUUGUUACUAAUGGUGCAGGGAGCUGAUGGCACGUGAUCCUUUAUGUGUUGACAGCGGGUUCAUUCGCCAACUUAUAGGCCUAGUUGGUGCUCACAAACAUUGUUUGUUAGUCUUACUAGGGUUGAAUCGAGUGUAUGUUCUUAACAUGUUUGUAAUGCCCGUUUGGGUUGGCUUGCACGUCUUUUUUUACUAGGUUAGGUUAUGCCCCCCCAGAUUUUUUUCUGUACUUUUUCCUUUUUUAAUAAUAUAUAUGAGCAUGUGACUCUUGAUGUCACUCUGCUCUGGCCUUAUCAAAAAAAAAAAAAAAGGAGUAUAAAUUUAACAUAAAAAAAAAUAUUGAGGCAGUAAAGUGUAUAUUUUAACUUAAGAGGGGAGGGGAGUGUAAUUUAAGCAUCUUUGAGGGGAGUGGAGUGUAAUUUACUCUAGUUUUUAUCAAAAUUGCUUUUGAAUGUAUAAUUUACUAAAAUGGACAUAGCUAAUUUCAAGUAAAUGUGCUUAGUCGAAUGUAUAUGUAGAUCAAUACUAAAUGUAGAUAUAUUAUUUAAUUUAAAUAAAUAAAUUUUCUAUAUAUUAAUUUAAAACAUAAUAAAUACGAUCACUAAACUAAUUUUUUUACAAAAUAUGUUCAUAUAUUUUAUAUUUUUUGAUAAAAUAUAUUUAAGUUAAAUAAUACUAGAGUUAGUUGCCAAAAAUGAUAAAAUAUAGCGUAAAUGAAAUGUAAAAGAAAAAAUACAGUAAAUUUGAAUGGGGACACCGUAAAGAAAAAUUCAAAAUUUGGUAAGUCACGACCAUAAAUAUUUUUGGGGGCUAAUUUGGUUCGUUAACUUUUCUAAUUAAAUUUGGUUCAUCAAAUUAAAUUACAAAACAAAAAGAAGGAGAAUUGAUAAAGGCCAAUAAAGGAAAAUAAUAGGUUGUAAUAAUCGAAAUAGAAAAUUUAAUGUAGAAUUGAUUCUAGAAAAGCUAUAAGCUAGGAUUUGUAGCUUUAAGAAUAAUUUAUUUUGGAGGAUAGAAUCAAUUCUUAAAAGUGAAACUAAACACCAUUAAAAACUCAGUUUUUCACUUUUGAAGGUUGUAGAAUCACUUCUUGGUGUUGAAAAGUCAAACCAAACAGGCUCUUAGUGUGUGUUUGGUAUGGCGGUGGCGAGAAUUGAUUUUGAUAGAAUUAAGUUUGAGAGAAUUGAUUUUGGUUAAAAGUGAGUUGAAUGUGAAUUGAUUUAUGUUUGGAUACACUUUAUUAGAAGUGAUUCUUGUGGAUUGAUGUUGUUUGGAUAGUUUGAAUCAAAUUUGGUUUUGAAUAUAUAAUGACUAAACUAUCCUUUUAGUUGUAUUUUUUAGAACAUCUUUUUCAUUGUAUUUAAAACUAAAUAUGUCAUCUUUAUUUUAGAUAAUUAUUUCAACUUGUCAUAAAUGGAUUUUUUUUUUCUCAAAAGUUCAUUUUUAAAUAAUAUUAAUUAAUUAGAGUUAUAAUUUAUAUAUUUUUAUCAUUUUAGGUAACGAUUUAUAGUUAGUUUUAAAAUAUUACUAAAAUUGAUUGUAAUUAUUAUAACUAAUAAAUUCCCUAAUAAAAACAAAUAAAUAAAUCUUCUUAUAAAAGAAACUAAUAAAUAAAUUUCAACUCUUUUGUUUAAAAUUGGACAUUUUAUGAAAAAAUAAAAAAAGGAUUGGGCUUUCAUCCAUUACCCUUAUUCUUUGUCUUCUCAAACUAAGGGAAAAGCUCAUUGUAUAAUAGAAACAACUCCAUAAAAGCACCGAGUUUUUUUUCUGAACGGCCAUAAAAGAACAUAAAUCAUACAAAAUCAAAAUUUUGAUUUAUUUUCUUUGUUUCAAGUUUCAAGUUUAAUUUAUCAUGUUGUUCCCCUCUUCUCUCUAUUUCUCCUGUAAAUCUGAAACAGAUCUGCAAUCUUUAUGUAGGAAAAUGGGGAAGAUAAUGUGGGUAUUUUGGUAAAGCACCUGCCACUUGAGAAAUUAAAGCCAAAACCAUGUUUUCUCUGCCGCAGAAGCUAGGAACAAGCUUCAAUAGAACUGGCGUUUUGAGUCCUAAACUAUGUUUCCUAAAAUCAGUUUUCAUUCAUCCAAACAAGAUAAAAAAUGUUGAAACCACGUUUGAGAAAGUAAACACAGGUUUGGCUGAAAACAACGUGUGGCCAAACACAAACUUAGUGUUUCCUUUUUUGUUUCCUGAGUUAAAGUUCUGUUCAAAUUCUCCAAGCUGGGAAAAGGCAGAAGCUUUGGCAUUGAAGAAUAGUCUAGAAUCUGUCACUCUUUCGUAACUGACUGCGGAGGAUCAGGCAUCAUUAUGGUGGUGGCGAGAUCGUAGAAAUGGGGAAGCGCCCCUAUGCCAAUAAGCCCAUAUGAGAUGGUAUUAUGUCACUCUUUCGUAACUGACUGUGGAGGAUCAGGUAUCAUUAUGGUGGUGGCGAGAUCGUAGAAAUGGGGAAGCGCCCCUAGGCCAAUAAGCCCAUAUGAGAUGGUAUUAACCCCUUAGCAGAGUAUUAAUGAUACAGUUCCAUUGUAUCCUCCUAAUAAAGACUUUAAAAGGGGGUGAGGUUUAGCACGGGAAUGGUAAGUUCUUUUCCAUGAUGGGAAAGUUUAACAAGAGCCAUAGAUUUAAUAGUAAUUUAUUCGGAUGGCUGAGAUCUAUUCCUUGGUAAAGGUUGUAACCUUUUGAUUGGUAUUGGGAAACAAAAAACUCUACCCCUCCAAAUGAUUUAAUAACAAUUUUCAUAAAAUCAAGUUUACUAUUUUUCCUGAAUCUACAACAACAUUUACGAAUAAAAUUUGAACAAGAUACACACUAAUAAGCAUCUCUAGAAAUUACAUGAACAAAAUUUACCCAGAAAAUAUGUGAUAAACAUAUGUCCAGAAUGACAUACGACUUCUAUGUCAUUAUCUUUUUCUUUUUUUAAUAAAACCAACAUUAAUUGAAAUUAAUGAGAAACAAGAUUUGCCAUAUCUUUUUGGAUAUGGAUUUGCAUGAGGGAAGUGCCGUGUCCAAGUCUUUCAGAAUCCCUAAAGCUUCCGCAAGUUACUUGAAUACUAAUGUAAGCAUACAAAAACUUAAACAUUGCCCGGACAAAAAAGGGUUGAUUAACUCCAUCUUUCAAAAGCUUAAACAUUUACCUAGAAAAAAUACAUUGACGUUGAUUCUGCCCAGAAAAUACAUAGUUUCAACGGUAUAAUAUCACAUAGAACAUAAUGUAACCGAAAAGUUUUUUUCGUUGGGUUUUUCGAUUUUAGCAGUAAAAU
rnacentral:lncRNA from 1 species